GCAGUGGUGGUUCAGUGGUAGAAUUCUCGCCUUCCAUGCAGGAGACCCGGGCUGAGUCCUGACCAAUGCA
rnacentral:tRNA from 1 species